rnacentral:rRNA from 1 species
UGGGGGAUAUUGCACAAUGGGCGCAAGCCUGAUGCAGCGACGCCGCGUGGGGGAUGAAGGCCUUCGGGUUGUAAACUUCUUUUGCUCUGAACAAGGCGCACUUUGGGGUGUGUUGAGUGUAGGGGUUGAUUAGCGCCGGCUAACUACGUGCCAGCAGCCGCGGUAAUACGUAGGGCGGGAGCGUUGUCCGGAAUUAUUGGGCGUAAAGGGCUUGUAGGUGGCUGGUUGCGUCUGUCGUGAAAGCUCAUGGCUUAACUGUGGGUUUGCGGUGGGUACGGGCUGGCUUGAGUGCAGUAGGGGAGGCUGGAAUUCCUGGCGUAGCGGUGGAAUGCGCAGAUAUCAGGAGGAAUACCGGUGGCGAAGGCGGGUCUCUGGGCUGUUACUGACACUGAGGAGCGAAAGCAUGGGGAGCGAACAGG